UACGUAGGGUGCGAGCGUUGUCCGGAAUUAUUGGGCGUAAAGAGCUCGUAGGCGGUUUGUUGCGUCGGCCGUGAAAACUCAGGGCUUAACUCUGAGCCUGCGGUGGAUACGGGCAGACUUGAGUUCGGUAGGGGAGACUGGAAUUCCUGGUGUAGCGGUGAAAUGCGCAGAUAUCAGGAGGAACACCGGUGGCGAAGGCGGUUCUCUGGGCAUGUCCUGACGCUGAGGAGCGAAAGUGUGGGGAGCGAACAGG
rnacentral:rRNA from 1 species